rnacentral:rRNA from 1 species
GAUGAACGCUGGCGGCGUGCCUAAUACAUGCAAGUCGAGCGAACAGACGAGGAGCUUGCUCCUCUGACGUUAGCGGCGGACGGGUGAGUAACACGUGGAUAACCUACCUAUAAGACUGGGAUAACUUCGGGAAACCGGAGCUAAUACCGGAUAAUAUAUUGAACCGCAUGGUUCAAUAGUGAAAGACGGUUUUGCUGUCACUUAUAGAUGGAUCCGCGCCGCAUUAGCUAGUUGGUAAGGUAACGGCUUACCAAGGCAACGAUGCGUAGCCGACCUGAGAGGGUGAUCGGCCACACUGGAACUGAGACACGGUCCAGACUCCUACGGGAGGCAGCAGUAGGGAAUCUUCCGCAAUGGGCGAAAGCUUGACGGAGCAACGCUGCGUGAGUGAUGAAGGUCUUCGGAUCGUAAAACUCUGUUAUUAGGGAAGAACAAAUGUGUAAGUAACUAUGCACGUCUUGACGGUACCUAAUCAGAAAGCCACGGCUAACUACGUG